UGGGGAAUAUUGCACAAUGGGGGAAACCCUGAUGCAGCGACGCCGCGUGAGGGAAGAAGGUUUUCGGAUUGUAAACCUCUGUCCUUGGUGACGAAAAUGACGGUAGCCAAGGAGGAAGCCACGGCUAACUACGUGCCAGCAGCCGCGGUAAUACGUAGGUGGCAAGCGUUGUCCGGAAUUACUGGGUGUAAAGGGAGCGCAGGCGGGAAGAUAAGUUGGACGUCUAGUCUAUCGGCUCAACCGAUAGUCGCGUUCAAAACUGUUUUUUCUUGAGUGAAGUAGAGGUAAGCGGAAUUCCUAGUGUAGCGGUGAAAUGCGUAAAUAUUAGGAGGAACACCAGUGGCGAAGGCGGCUUACUGGGCUUUAACUGACGCUGAGGCUCGAAAGCGUGGGUAGCAAACAGGAUUAGAUACCC
rnacentral:rRNA from 1 species